rnacentral:lncRNA from 1 species
CUUCUCUGAGUUGAACGCACCGAAUUCACACACGGAGUGGUGCCUGGCUUUACUGAGGAGAAUACACUGAAGUCACAGACUGAGUGGUGCCAGAUUCUCUGAGGAGAUUGCACCGAGGUCAUAGACCAAGUGGUGUCCGGCUUUCCUGAAGGAGACUGCAUGGAUUUCACAGACUGAGUGCUGCUCGGCUUCUCUGAGGAGAAUGCACCAAGUGGUGUCCGGCUUUCCUGAAGGAGAUUGCAUGAAGUCCACAGACCAAGUGGUGACGGCUUCCCUGAGGAGAAUGCACGGAGUUCACAGACCGAAUGGGUGCUGGCUUCCCUGAGGAGAUGGUACCGAGGUCACAGACCGAGUGGUGCCCGGCUUCCACGAAGGCGAUUGCAUGGAGUCCACAGACCAAGUGGUGAUGGCUUCCCUGAGGAGAAUGCACCAAAAUCACAGACCCAGUGUUGGCUGACUUCCCUGAAGGAGACCGCACGGAAGUCACAGGCUGCGUGUUGGCUGGCUUCCCUGAGGAGAAUGCAACCAGGUCACAGACCAAGUGGAACGCAGCUUCUCUGAGGAGAAUGCACCGAAUUUACCCCAAGUGGUGCCCGGCUUCUCUAAGGAGAUUGCACUGAGGUCGCAGACUGAGUGGUAUCCAGCAUUUCUGAGGGGAAUGUACCUAGAUCAUAGACGGAGUGGAGCCCAGCUUUCCUGAAGGAGAUUGCAUGGAGUUCACAGAGCUAGUGGUGCCCCUCUUCUCUGAGGAGACUGCACCGAAUUCACACACUGAACGGUGCCGGGCUUCACUGAGGAGACUGCACUGAGGUCACAGACCAGGUGGAGCCCGGCUUCCCUGAAGGAGAAUGCACUGAAAUCACAGACCGAGUGGUGCCACCUUCUCUGAGGAGAAUGCACUGAGGUCACAGACCGAGUGAUGUCCAGCUUCCCUGAAGGAGAUUGGUUGGAGUUCACAGACCGAGUGGUGCCGCCUUCUCUGAGGAGAAUGCACUGAGGUCACAGACCGAGUGGCGCCAGCUUUUCUGAAGGAGAUUGCAGGGAAGUCACAGGCUGAGUGUUGGCUGGCUUCCCUGAGGAAACUGUAACCAGGUCCCAGACCUGGUGUCCAGCUUUCCUGAAGGAGACUGCGCCGAGUUCACAGACCGAGUGGUGUCGGCUUCUCUGAGGAGAUUCCACCAAAGUCACCGACCAAGUGGUGCACAGCUUCACUGAGGAGACUGCACCCAGGUCACAGACUGAGUGAUGUCCGGCUUCCCUGAAGGAGAUUGCACCAAGUUCACAGAGCAAGUGGUGUCGCUUUUCCUGAAGGAGAUUGUGCUGAGGUCACAGGCUGAGUGGUGUCCAGAUUUCCUGAGGAGAAUGCACCAAGGUCACAGACUGAGUGGCGUCCGACUUCCGUAGGGGAGAGUGCGCUGAGUUCACACACUGAGUAGUGUCUGGCUUCUCUGAAGGAGAAUGUGCUGACGUCACAGACCUAGCGGUGCUUUUGUAUCACUCUCCGCUGGUGAUUCUUCGCCUGUCUGCAGGGUUCUCACUGCCGUUUCUGCCUGACAAACUCCUACUUAUUCAACACCUCCCAGCUCACACUCAACUUCUCUGCAGAAGCUUCCAAUUCCUUAUCCCGCCUGUCUGCAGGGUUCUCACUGCCGUUCCUGCCUGACAAACUCCUACUUAUUCAAUACCUCCCAGCUCACACUCAGCUUCUCUGCAGAAGCUUCCAAUUCCUUAUCCCUCUGCCAAAGUUACUUGUUCUCUUCUCUGAGCUGUUUUGCACUUUGUUCAUGCUUUGGGUGGUAGUUUUGAAGUCGGUCCUCCCGUGGUGACUUCUUCAGGGCAGCCUGUGCACCAUGUGUUUUUAAUUCCACAGUGGCCCGGGUCCCCCUAGGGCAGGGGGUCCCCAACCCCCCAGGCCAUGGACCACUAUCUGUCCCUGGCCUUUUAGGAGCUGACCUGCACAGCAGGAGGCGAAUGGUGGAGGGCGAACAAGUGACGCUUCCCCUGUAUCUACGACUGCACCCCAUCACUCGCAUUACCACCUGAGCUCUGCCUCCUGUUAGAUCAGCAGUGACACUAUAUUCUCAUAGGAGCUCAAACCCUGCUGUGAACUGCGUAUGUGCGAGAUCUAGGUUGUGCGCUCCUGCUGAGAAUUUAAUGCCUGGUGAUCUGCCACUGUCCCCCAUCAUCCCCAGAUGAUACCAUCUAGUUGCAGGAAAACAAGCUCGGAACUCCCACUGAUUCUGCAUGACAUUUCACGUGGAAAGAAUAAUGGCUGUGAGUGGCUGACUCGGGAUGCUGGAGGAGAGCGUGGGUGACAGGUUGUGUUAGGCACUUCUCAGUGACCGAGCCAAGGGGCCGGGGCCAGGCUCCCGGUGGAAGAGAGGCCUCUGCCCGGUGCAGGGGACCAGGCACCAGGGUGAUGAACAGCGGCCUUCUCCUUCCCUCUCUCCACCCUGCGCUGUGGAAAACUGAUCCGGGGCUCUGGGUGUUUGAUGAUGGGGAAAAGAGGAGCCAUCACCUCGACACACCCAUGGGCAGGAACAGGAACCCUGCAUAGGACCAGCCCAUCUGUGCUCCUUACCACUGGGAGCACAAAGUCCACGGGAAGGAUUUUCUGUUACAGAACAGCGUGUGCUGGGAUUGGAGGUGCUUUUCCCAGCUAGGAAAGCUGGCUUUGGCCUCCAGCGGAGGCUGUUAGGGUUUCGCCUUCUUCCUGCUGGAUACCUCUUGCCCCACAGGAGCCACUCCCCAGCCAGGCCUCUGGCUGUCAGCUUUAUGAUUUUCUGAGGGAGGAACAGCAGGACAUAUUUAUCUUCAAAAAGGUCACAACUCAUUUCUGAGUGUACGUUGACAUGAAAAGUCGUAUAUUCUCAUUAUCCUGAAUUCUGAAUAUUUUUCUUAUCACUAUUCCCUUAUGAGAAUUUUUCGUGUUGAUGGUUAUGUUUAGAAAUAGCAAAGCGUCUCCUCUUCCUGUGUACCUACUUCUGGAUUUUAUGAUUCCUAUGUAUUUCUACUUUGUAUGAAUUAAUUUUCCUCCUUAAAAUGCAUCCAUCUCUGCCUGCAGAGGAAACGUGAUGUUUACAUACCCUUCAUUGCCAAUGUAUCCCUUGACCCGAUCAGAG